GAAAGAUCGGCCGCGUCUGAUUAGCUAGUUGGUGGGGUAACGGCCCACCAAGGCGACGAUCAGUAGCUGGUCUGAGAGGAUGAUCAGCCACAUUGGGACUG
rnacentral:rRNA from 1 species